ensembl:lncRNA
GCAACUGAAGUAUUUUCUGCAUUCAGGCUGGGACAGGAGACAUUUUCAGAUAAAUUACCUCUUACUACACUCUGGAGACAUCGUUCAUGCUGCUUCAUCGGAACUUGCAAGGAGAGGCUAUUUGGCAGAUUCUUAAAGUGGACAGAAAAGGAAAUUGAAAGCGUUUUUCCUAAUAUAGUAGUCAUUGAGAUAAAAGGAAUAUAUACUCUAAGAAGCAACGACCUUUCCAAAAUCACAUCCCUGAGAGACGUGAGCAGCACAGAGAGACUUCUUUUCACAUGUCCCCUCUCUUGGUGAAUGGCACCAGCAUCCCCAUGGUGGUUUAUCCAGACACCUGGAAUCGACCUACACCCCCCACCCCACCCUGCUCACAUUCCACAGGAUUCCACGAAAACAGUAUACUUCCCCUCCCUUGGCUUCUGCUUCAGUUGCUUCUUUUGGCCAGUGGGAUAUGCAGUGGAGGCUUGGCGCGCCACCUCAUCUCCUGCUUUUUGCCACAAGAGCCUGCCUCACGUAGACGCUGGUUCAAGGAGGAGAGACACAUGCAGCAGGUCUGGACGCAACCCACAGCCUGGAGCCUAGCUAAUCUGUUCUCCAGCUUCCCUGUGGAUACACGAGUAGGAGCAGAUGUUUACUCUUGUCUGCCACGGAGAUUUCAGUGGUUCGUGAUGCAGUAUCAUUGUGGCAAUAGCCCACGGAAACACAUCUGCCUCAGAACCAAAUGAGUGCACCACAGCUAUGUUUAAAUGGAUAACCAACAAGGAACCACUGUACAGCACAGGGAACUCUGCUCAGGGUGAUGUGCCAGCCUGGAUGGGAGGGGAGGUUGGAGGAGAAUGGAUAGAUGUACAUGCACGGCUGAGUCCCUUCACUGUUCACCUGAGACCAUCACAACAUUGUCAAUCAGCUACAGCCCAAUACAAAAUAGAAAGUUUAAAAAUAAAGAAAUAAAUAAAAUGAGAACA